rnacentral:rRNA from 1 species
UACGUAGGGCGCAAGCGUUGUCCGGAAUUAUUGGGCGUAAAGAGCUCGUAGGCGGUGUGUCGCGUCGGCCGUGAAAACCUGCAGCUUAACUGUGGGCGUGCGGUCGAUACGGGCAUCACUGGAGUUCGGCAGGGGAGGACUGGAUUCCUGGUGUAGCGGUGAAAUGCGCAGAUAUCAGGAGGAGCACCGGUGGCGAAGGCGGGUCGCUGGGCCGAUACUGACGUGGAGGAGCGAAAGCGUGGGGAGCGAACAGG